ACAAAGCCUAAGUUUCCGUGUCCAACGUUUGACCGUCCGUCUUAUUUGAAAAAAUUAUGAAAAAAAUUAAAAAGAUAAGUCACGCAUAAAGUGUUAAUCAUGUUUUAUCAUCUAACAAUAAUGAAAAUACUAAUUAUAGAAAAAUUUCAUAUAAGACGGACAAUUAAACGUUGGACACGGAAAUCAGGGUUUGUCUUUUU
rnacentral:pre_miRNA from 1 species